rnacentral:piRNA from 1 species
UAGAUAUGGCAUGGGGAGGAGAGAAGGUGU